CCGAGGUGAUGAGGAAAUUCAUGGUCUGUCAAUCCACUGAUGACUGCAAGUGAUGUAGUCAUGAAAUCCCGACAGGUUCUGAUCGC